CUGUACUGAAGAGAGAGAAAAGAAUAUGGAGCGUUCAGAGUUCCUCUGAACUUUGUGCGAUUAAGACGUUGUUGUAGUUGCUCUUAUCAAGAGAAGAACAUGAGUAAGUUUUUGAGUGCGCUUGAUGCUGAUGUAGUGGACCUCCCACAGCGUCCCCUGACGUUCACGGACGGACAAGGCGAUGGAAAGAAAACAACAUCGGACCCCGAGGGUCCCAACUGAAGACCCAGUGUGUGACUGGGCCACGGAACCGGCUCUGCUCCAACCCACAGAGGUUCCUCAGGACCAGGUCACGGACGUUGUGACUCAGGCUGAGGAGAAGAUUCAGAAGCUUGUGGUGUCCAAUACUCGGCUCGAGGACAGAGUUAGGGAGCUGGAGGAACUGCUCUGUGAGGCACGCAGAGAUGACCUGAAAAGCAAGGAAUGAUGUAGGGACAACUUGCAGAUGUGAUCAUUAAGUACUCGAUUUUUAACCUCUUUUGCCCCAUGG
ensembl:lncRNA